CCGCAUCUAUUUAUCAAAUUUCAGUAGGUUUUCUAAAUAUUUGCUGAAAGAACUUAUCAAGUACCAAUUGCCAGGUAAAAAGAGGAAGAGGGAGCUUAUCAUAUCGGAACCAUAUCCAGAAUCUGAGUAUUAUCCUAGUUGUAAUAUUCCAAAACCAGAUCAAGAGAGACUGGAGAGAAAGGCUGCUUAUGAACAAUCUAAGAAUGAUAUUACCAAGUGGGAACCUUCGGUCAAGAGAAACAGAGAGGCACCUACUUUAUAUUUUGAUGAGGAUGUAGACUUGGGAUUUUCAGGCGUAGGAGCAAUUGCUUCUGAAUUUGAACCCAGAAUUGAUUUCGAGAAGAAAAUUGCUUCCUUAGUGAAUGAUACUGAGGUCGUGGAAGCUCACAAAAAGAUGGUGCCAGGCUUCUUGAACUGAACAAGGUAAGGAGGUCAUAUUUAUACAUUCUGGCAUUCCAUAUAAAAAUGUAUGAUUGAUCCUCAUUUAUGGUUAUUGUUUUUAUGUGCUAUUCUAUUAUUGUAAAAGCAGCACAAAUGAUGAUAAAUAAAUAAGUUUCCUUUCUUGAUGCCAUUUUGUAGAUAUCCGUUGAAGAUGUGAAAGAUCGUCAGGCCCGAUUGGCUAAAAUGUGUAGUCUACUUUUCCGUCAUGAAACGAAGGUGAAGCGAAUAAAAAAGAUCAAGUCCAAAACCUAUCACCGCUUGUUGAAGAAAGAUAGAUCGAAAGCAUUCGAAGCUGAGAUUCAAUUGAAUCCAGAAGCUGCUAAAGACCUUGCAAUGAAACAAGAGUUCAAAAGAGCUGAGGUAUUGGAAUAUCUACGACAUGAUGUGAUUACUUCAGGAGUUGGGGUUAACUUUUGAUUUCAUUUUCGAUUCUUGAGAAUCAGCUGGUGCUUACAAUCCUUCUUGUUUCACGCAAGAAUGCAUAACUCUAAAACACAAAAACAGCUCCAAAAGGGCGAAGCGCAUCUUAAAAUGUGGUUUGGAUGUCCAAGAUGAAGGAACCCGAACAGCUUCGUCAACAUGCUACUUUGACCAGAAAAAUGAAAUCUAUGAAAGAUAGAAGUAGUAGCGAUGAGAGUACUGACAAUGAUGACAUUGAGGAAAUCUCAUAUGGUUCUGAUCAGGAUAUUGCAUCAAAACUGUUCAUGACAGCAAAAGAGAAGACACUUGAAGUGCUGGAAGGGGAUGAAGAAGUGCCUAAAUCUGGAGUGUUUUGUUUACCAUUUAUGGUAUGUUAUGUGCAUUUUUCAUUUCAAAAAUAGUAUAAUAUAAUGUAACAUAUUUAUAUGCUCGUUUACUUGAACAGGUACGUGGGUUGAAAAAGAGAAAAGAGGUUGUUGAUGAGGAAGCAAGGCUGUACAACUUAAUAAUUCGUGGGUUGUACAUUUUUUUUUAUUCUUUGUAGUACUUAGAGAUUUUAUGAUUUUGAC
rnacentral:lncRNA from 1 species